rnacentral:ncRNA from 1 species
UUAAAGUUUUAUUCUAGCUUUGAGGAUUAAUGUAUGGAUGAAUUAUAUGUAAAUUUUUGUGUUGAGUGCUAGUUUAAAUAAUUGGUGUUAUCAGUAUUGCAAUAACUAAUUUUGAACAUUAAUUAAUGUUAGAUUUAGCUAUUCAUAACAGUAUUAACAAAAUUUGUGCCAGCAGUUGUGGUUAUACAGAUAAUACAAUUAAUUUAAUUUGGUUUUGUAAUUAAUUUAGUUAAUUUAAAUAUAGUAAGAAAUUUAUUGGGUGAAAUUUUAAAUUUUUCUUUAAUUUUUAGGUUAAAAAAUGAGGUUAUUAAAUUUAGUGUUAAACUAGGAUUAGAUACCCUAUUAUUAUAAAUGUAAAUUUUUAAACUUAAUGAUUAACAGUUAUGUUCUUUAAAGUUAAAGGAUUUGGCGGUAUUUUAGUCUAUUUAGAGGAACCUGUUCUAUAAUUGAUAAUCCACGAUUUAUUGUACUUGUCUUAAUUAGUUUGUAUAUCGUCGUAGUUUGAAUAUUUUUAAAGAAAUUGAAUGUUCAAGAUUCUUAAUAAGGAAAGAAAUCAGAUCAAGGUGCAGUUUAUAGAUAAGAAGAAAUGGGUUACAAUAAAUUUAUUUAUAUGGUUUAAAUAUUUGAAAGAUAUUUAAUAAAGUGGAUUUAAAAGUAAUAAAGUUUAAUUAGAUUUUAUGAUUUUAGCUCUAGAAUAUGUACAUAUCGCCCGUCGCUCUCAUAUAAAGUGAGAUAAGUCGUAACAUAGUAGGUGUACUGGAAAGUGUACCUGGUUGGUA